UGGGGAAAGGUUACAGGGGCAGGACUUGAGUCAGGAAUAAAGGCUCUCGUGCCCAUUUGUUCAGGUGUGCUCUCAUGGUGACUGGCCAAGGAGGAACCCCUCUGCACAGAGGUCUCUGUUUCUUACUUCUAUGAAGUAAAGAUAAAGCACUUAGCAGUAUGCUUGGCACAUAAUGUGCAUUUACUCCAUGUUUUUAAGUUUAAUACAUUAUAUAAGUGUGUAAAUAGGCCCUCAAUAAAGAUGAAAAACUACGUUCUUUGGAUCAAUGAGAGGAAAACUGAGAGAAGAAAGUGGAUUUGCCAAACUAAACUUCAACAAAGAUCCCCAGGUCUAAUCAACACCAUCACCCCCACGCCGUGGACCAGUGUGAUUUUCUAUGGGAUGGAGGGAUGAACAAGGCUGCUAUAGAUCAGGUUAUGACAGGCCUGGAGAGUUGAGCACAUUUUUAACAACAGCUGCAAUUGAAUUCAUCACUGGACGAGUUUUACGAUAAGCCAUGGUCAUUCUUCAAUAUCCAUUUGUCUUCUACAUAUACCAAAUAAUGAGUUUAAUGGGGAUGUCGGGAGAGUCGCCACCCCGUAUCCUUAAAGUCCAUGAUGGUGGCACUAAUCUCUGCAGCCCCUCUAGGGAUGUAGUAUUGCAUUUGAUUCACUAUUUUAGAAAAGGAAUAGUUCCAGUGGCUUUCACUUUCCCAUCAUAAUAGCCCUCUCUCCUAGAGUCAUGGAAGCAAUGUGGAGAUUCUGCCAGUUCUGCACAUGUCAAUUUUAAUUAUGUGUUUCAGAAUUGGAGAAUAACCACAGAAUGUGUGCAAUGGGCCCCCUGUGAGACAAACCCAGCCAAACUCCAUCGAUCACUUGAACUUCAGAAUUUCCUACUCUGCCUGGUGGAUCAAAGUGACAUUGGAAUCUCUAGGAACUGGUAUCAGUUCAGAGCCAGACUAUAGUGAUCCCUAAAUAGUCUGGUUAUUUUGCCUUCCCUAAUGCAUAACCACCCUGGUAAAUGGCCACAGAUCCCCUCGGAGAAAACUACAAAAUGACAGCAUCAAUUUUUAGCUAUGUUGCGUUGUCCCUCCUCAAGGGGACUUGGUCUCCUCUUCAUUUAAGGGACUCUGGACCUGUCAUCUGGCUCGAUUCUUGUAAUUGAGGGAUCAUGACUGCCUUUCGUGAUUCAAGUCAGGCUUCCAGAUAAAUACAUGCAGCUUUUUACUUAUACGAAUCAAGUAAGCCCUUAAUAAGCCAACUAUUUCAGGUCUAAGGACACCAUGAAUAAUUAGGCAAUGCUGACAAUCUCUGUGGGUAAAACUACUACGGUUAUUGUUCUAGUUCUGCUAUUUAUUAUGGUAACCAGCCCAUCUUGUUAUGGUGAUGAGUGCAUUGCUGCCCCUUGGCCCCCGCCACAACAGGAUCCCAUCAUUUCCAUUGAAUUCAAGAAUGAAAGUAUUUCUUUUGCCCCAUGGAAAUCAUCGGCAAAGUUAAAAGAUAUACAACAGACUGACAGAUAUCCAAGAUCAACAUAGAUCAAAUAAUUUGUUCAUACAAAGAACUUCUACAAAUCAACAUGAUAAAGAAAAGUAAUCAAAUAGAGACAUGGAAAAGGGAUAUUAAUAAGCUGAGGAAAAAUCUUAGUGGCUAAACAUGUAGAAAUAUUCAAUUUCACAAUUAAACUCAACCUUUUAAUUUGCAAAUAAAUGCACAUUAAAAUAAUGAGAGACCACUUUACAACCAUGAGAUUGGAAAAAUUUAGAAUGUUGCAUGGUGCCAAGCAUUAGCAAGGUUAUAGGGCAAUGGAAAUUCUGAGGGAAAUUCUGAGGCGUGUAAGCAGGUGUAGUCAUUCAGAGAACCAUCCAGGUAUAUCCUACAUCUUAACAUUUCCAUCCAGACAAAUUAUCUCACAAGCUGAUGAGGAGAUAUGUAUAAGAUUUUCAACAUACCAUUACUAGUGGAAGUCAGAUAUUGGAAGCCACCUAGAUAACCAUCAUUCGAGAAAUAUAUUAAUAAUUUUUGAAAAGUAGAAUAUAGUUGUGAAUGCACACUGUGCAACAUAAUGCAGAAAGUCUUGCUGAAUUUUCUUGCCAAAAUAGAUUUUUUCCCUAACUUUUCAUUCUAUAUCCCUAUUAUCUCUUUGGUUCAAGUGAGCUUUAUAUGCUGAGAGAUGUCAUGUCUGUAACAGCCAAAAUCAGAUCUCCAUAUUCCACUUUUGGAGUAUACUUAACAUGAUAGCAAAAAUGACCUUAAAAUAUAUGUGUAAUAUAAGUGUUGCCAAAUAGGAAUUAUGGUCCAUCUUCCCGUUGAUUAAAUUUUCAUAUUAUGUUCUCAAAUAAGAUUUUACAGUUUUCUUCACUUAUUCAAUCAUGUAUUAAUCCAAUAACAAUUUAUUGCUCACUUACCGUAUAUUCAAUCACUGUUCCAGACACUGGAGUACGACAGGGAACGAGAUGGACAAAGGCUUCUACCCUAGAGAAGGGUGCUUUCCAGCAUUUUAGAUAAUAAUCAUGUAUUCAAAUACAUAUAAAACACAACAUUAAGAAGUCAGAUGUGCUUUGUAGAAAUAGAACAUUUGGCUAGAGAGAAUUUGGAGAAUAUAUAGGGCAGAUCCUAUUUGCAAUUGUCUAUUCUUUUUUAGUUAUUUUUAUCCCCAGCUAAUUUCAAUUUUUUUCACUAUUCUUAGUGGAGGAGACAGAGUGUAAGGAGUAAAACAAUACUUCAAAAAUUAUUAUUAUUGUUCUCCAAAACACUAUUUAGGUAAACCCUUGAAAUAAAUAAACUAAAAAAGGAGAACUCAGAGAACAAAAAUAAACUCCUAGAAUAUUAAAGAUGUGAUAGUAGAAAUAUAAAACCCAACCUCAUAAUGGAAUAUAAUUUUAAGAAACUAGAACACAAAGACAGAGAUGAAAAACUGAAGAUAAAAAUAAAAUAGAGAAUCAGUAUAGUAAAGGAAACAUAAAAAUAAAAGAUACCAGAGGAGAGAACAGAGACCAUACAAGGGAAUAAUUGUCAAAUAAUUCAAUAAUAAUAGCAGCAAUAAACUACUCAAAAUGCAGGGUGUGAUUUAUUUCAGGUGGAAUGAGCCCACCUCCCAAGUGCUUAGCACAAUGGUUGAAAAAUACCUCACACCAAGUCGCAUUAGUGGGAAAUUUCAAAGCAUUGGAGACAAACAGACAUUUAUGGAAGCAUCCAUGGUGAAAUCAGGGAUGAGGUGGACACAUUUUAUGUUGUUUGUAAAUGUAUCGAAGGAUUUUUCAAUCUUGCAGAGGAUUUGGGGAUGAAUAAGUAACAGGCUCACAGAAAACUCAGCAAAAGAAAGAAAUACAAAGACUACAAGAAAAUGUUUAGAUUACUUGAAAUAAACUAUAUUUUAACAUAAAAGGAGAAGAGCAGGUUGGAAUCCACCAUAAUGUUCUUCAUUGUCAUCUCACUUUCUUCUUUACCUCCUCCCCACUGUCAAAGAAUUGGUUUGAAGGUAAAUGGCAGAAAAUAACUCCUGCUAUCGCCCUGAUUUUCAUUCCUCUUUCAUUUUUUCUGGAUUUUGAGAAUAAGAAAACUCUUACUUUGGGUUUUCUGUAUCCUCCUCAUUCCUCUUGGUUUACUAUUACUCUUACAAUGGUGUCUCCUCUCUGAAAGGGAAAUAAAAGCUUUCUCCAGUUAUUUUUCCUAUAUUUCUAUGUCUGAUGAUUUCAUGAAAAACAAACUGUCUCAGUUUCUUAUCUGCAAAAUGGACACCAUAAUCUCUCUAUUUCCAGGUAGUUGAAAGCAAUCUUGGCUAUAAGGAUGUUAGAACACUGUCUGACCCUGGUGCAGGGUCAGUGGUGGUUGUUGCCAGUAGGAAUAGUAGUAGUAGUACUAAUAGUAGUAGCAGCAGCAGCAGCAGCAGCAAUAGUGGUUGUAGUAUGAAAUACUAGUC